GACGAACGCUGGCGGCGUGCUUAACACAUGUAAGUCGAACGAUGAAGCUGGAGCUUGCUCUGGUGGAUUAGUGGCGAACGGGUGAGUAACACGUGAGUAACCUGCCCUGGACUCUGGGAUAACCCCGAGAAAUCGGAGCUAAUACCGGAUAGGACCUUGCACCGCCUGGUGUGGGGUGGAAAGUUUUUCGGUCUGGGAUGGACUCGCGGCCUAUCAGCUUGUUGGUGAGGUAAUGGCUCACCAAGGCGUCGACGGGUAGCCGGCCUGAGAGGGUGACCGGCCACACUGGGACUGAGACACGGCCCAGACUCCUACGGGAGGCAGCAGUGGGGAAUAUUGCACAAUGGGCGCAAGCCCGAUGCAGCAACGCCGCGUGCGGGAUGACGGCCUUCGGGUUGUAAACCGCUUUUAGUAAGGAAGAAGGGGCUUCGGCCUUGACGGUACUUGCAGAAAAAGGACCGGCUAACUACGUGCCAGCCGCCGCGGUAACAC
rnacentral:rRNA from 1 species